rnacentral:tRNA from 1 species
GCCGAAGUGGCGGAACUGGUAGACGCGCCUGGUUCAGGACCAUGUGAGGGUUCCCUCGUAGGGGUUCGACUCCCCUCUUCGGCACUA